UAGACGUUCUGUCAAUAAAUAAUUUGGAAGAAAAAAAAACACAUUUUUAGAAAUAUUAAAAAAAAACUAACGUGACUGAAAUUGAAAUGUCUACAAAAGGUCAAAAUGAGUGUCAAAAGUGGUUUCAAGAGCGAAAAUUACGUUUGACAGCAUCAAAUUUUGGCCAAAUUUGUAAAUUAAGGAAAAUACAGUGUAUUCAAUGUUGUACGCUCCCGCGCCUCAUGCUAAAUCUUUACAGUAUGGACGAGUGACAGAAGCUGUUGCUCGUAAAAAAGCAGAGGAAAUUAUUGGGGAAACUGUGAAGAUGUGUGGUUUAAUAAUAUUUAAAUUCCUGAAAUUCCAUAUUUAGCAGCUAGUCCGGGUGUAUUAAAAUUUUAUAUUUUUAUACAACUAUAAAUUAUAACGAUAAACUGUAUUUUAAAUUUUUAUCAUAUAAUAAUUUUUUCUAAGAUGGUUUGAUUGGAGACUCUUGUAUACUUGAGAUAAAAUGCCCAUUUUCUGCCAAAGAUACCAGAAAUGCUGUUGAUGCCGUUAACAAUAAACUAUUACAAUGUUGCAUAGUUGUAGGUGAUUCCAUACAAUUGAAGAAAAAUCAUUCAUAUAUUAUUAUCAGGUGAUAGGUCAGUUAGAUGUAUCCCGUAGAGAAACGUGUUAUUUCGUUAUUUAUGCCGCUAAUUGGAUUACUUUUUGGGAUUCAAAAAUGGUCAAUUAUUUAACAACAUUCUACUUGGAAGUUUUAUUACCAGAAAUAGUUGAUCCUCUAUAUCCCAAAAGGAUGCUCAAAACGGAUAUAAGAGAAAAGACUGGUGAUAACGUAUAAUAUGUGUACUCCAACAAUAUUUUCAAUAUAGUUUUCGGAUGACUAUUAUUA